CGCUUGUCCCGAAAUGACCUGGAACAAUAGGGAAAUCCCAAUUCAUUGGGCCUUAUGAUACAAUCAAAUAGAACAAAUAGAAAGCCCCAAGGGGGCCAUAUUCUAGGAGCCCAAACUUUGUGAUUGAAUAAAUCCUCCUACGGGUCAAGGGAUCCUUCUCCCUCCUCUUCUUUAAACUCUGAUUGAUAUUUUUCAUAGAGAAAUCUCUGAUCAAGGAUAGAACAAGAGCCCUUUUGCAUCAUAUCUAAGGGAUUCCUUUGUUCAGGCCAAAGAAGCAAUAUCACUCGAUCAUUAUUAAACUAACUGCAAUCUUUUUCUGUCCGUGAAGAUCCCACCAAAGUGCCUUCUACUUCUAAUUGGCCAUGAACUAUAUCAGAAUCAUUCUCAAAAAGUCCAUAAGAAGUGAUCUAAUUUUUUUCAUCGGGUCUGGAUAAAGACCAAAGAUCUGGAACGACCGAUCCAAUAGAACAACUCAAUACAUAAAGAAGUAUAAUUAAUCUUUUCAUGCCCAUUCCAAUCUUGAAGUACCAUUUGUACAAAUAAGAAUCCCCUUCAUUACAUGAUUUAUUCUUCAUAUAGAUAGAUAUAGGAUCUAUGGGGAAAUUACUUAUAAGUACAUUUUAUGCUACAACCCUUCCUAUCUGAUAGAAAAGGACCCCAUGAUCCUGAACCGAUCUUACCUGGGAUCAGAAAUCCCAAGUUUGUCAAUGAAGAGUGGAUGUAAUUGUAUUAGUGUCUAUAAUUGAUUUCUUCUGUGUAAUAAUAAAUGAUAGGACCUCAUUGGUAAGUGCUACAAGAUCUCAUGCAUUGGAACCCAUGGUUAUGGACCCGAAUCUGUUAGUAUGGAACAUUUUCUUUUCCAAGUGAAAUGCCCCAGUAUAUGAAAGAGUGAAAAAGUGCUUUCAUUGUUGUGGAAUAAGAAGCCUUCAUAGCUUAAUGCAUGUAUUUAAUUUAUUCGGAGCUAUUAGAGCGGGAUCCACUUUUUGGGGAAUAUGAGUCAAAGUAAUAACAAGAAUAUUUCUAGUAGAAAAUCUUUCACAAUCCCUGGAGAGAUGGUUCACAAAUAGGCCAAGGGAUAAGUUAUUCGAAUCAUUCACAUCCAGAUCAUGAAUGUUUGGAAUCCAUACUAUGCAAGGAGAUAUUUCUUUUGCUAAUUUGAAUUGAAAGGCGAUAUAAAUUCAAUCUAUUUUUGGUAUCAUAUCCACAGUUAGCCCAUUCAUCCUAGUUAGCAGUUCCAGCUUCGUAUCAAGGUCACGAUCAAUAUCGUCACUAGCAUUAAGAUUUUCACUAUCAUCAAUAUCGAUCUAAUAAAGAAGAAAACCAAUAGGCUUGUUAUCCUGGAAAUUGUUCAGAAAUAUCAUAUUGAAAGGAAUAUAGGAGUUUGUCGCUAGGUAGUUAACCAAAUAGGAUCAUCCAGUUCCUACAGAACCUAUCACUAAAAUACCCCUAGAGGGGGAUAAGGCUAAGCGGAGCAAAAAGGGUUUUCCAUGAGAUGGGAAAUGAAAACUAUUUUCCCCACACGAAGGUUGUGAAUAAGUUAUUAUCUGAUAAUGAGCAAGGAGUAUCCGUCUUUCUGCUAAACAGGAUGGAUUGAACUCAUAAUUCAUUAGAUGCUUUGUAUGAAUGUCAACUAAGUAUCAUAAGUAAAUUAGUCCCAGUUGUUAAAUUAUUAUAUAACAAAAGUCAUUCUUUGAUAAAUGAUCACUAUGAGUCAGACGCCAUAGAAUUUGAUAAAUCCUAUUUUCUAUCGUUAAGGUGGAGAACUUAACAAAGAAUUCUCUUUCUUCAUCAUGAAUUGAAUCACUGUUCGCGACCCAGGAUUCUAUUUUCUCAUCAAUCCAAUCCCCGUUCACAUUUUUUUUCUUAUUAAUAAAUAGAUCUCUUUACUUGUAUAACUUAGAUGUCUCAUAUUUCUCAAAAAAGUGAUUCGAUUGAUGGGAUUUGGUAUGAGAUCGAUGAUCUCGAUGAGAUUGAUAUUAUAAUCUUUCUUCUUAGAACAUAUUAAUUUGACCCCAUAAGCGGGACCAAGCAUGUUGCCGCUAGAAGUAGAACCCCAUAUUUAUUCUAGAGAAUCUCCUAAUUGUUUCAGAGCAACUAGAAAGAGAUUCUUUAACCAAAAAGAAUUCGGUUCAGAUAUAGGAUACCUAUCCAGAAGUUUUUGUAACUUAAUCAUAGAUGAUGGAAUCAUCAAAGAUUUGACCUUUUUGAACUCUGUCUAUAGCUCACUAGAGGCUCGGGAAAUAAAGAAAAGAUUUGUACGAAUGAGAUAUCCAGCAACAAGAAGAAGUAAAAGGAUUGAAUAGAGGAAUUCUCGAGUAUUUGGCGAUCUCAGAUGUGUCGAUAUCAAUGGUGACUCAUUAUUUGAAUCAUUUCUUUGGACAUAAGAAGAUUAUGUAUCAUCCUCCUAUGACUAGUAUCCCCUCAUUCGUUCUUGGACAGAAUUCUCAUGGAUUCUACAUUGUUUAACUUAUGACUAUGCUUCAUACAAUCCAUAUGCUUCUUGAUGACUUCUAGGAGUUGAGUCGUACUCUUAAUAGAUUAUCCCCCAUAAUACACUACCUUGGGCACAAAAUAAAUGUAUGAAUCAUAUGUUACACAUACAAUUCAAGGGAUGAGCCGUAUGAUAGACAAAAAAACUUUUAGAGAUGGGAUAUUACCACAAGGCUGAUGUCCCGAAAGACUAGGGAGUCACCAUCUACUGGAAGGUUCCCCUAAGAGAUUGCCAACCCUCUACUGGCAGGAAUAUCUCUCAUACCUACAUUGGCAACAUAGUUCUGGAACUCAAGGACUACUACUAAAGGUCACACCCUCUGCUGGCAGAUGAUCCCCCAUCCCUGGGUUCACUUGGUGCUAAAUCCUAUUACCAACUGAACUAACAUUAUUAUUAUUAUUGGUUUAACAUGAUGUGUACUGAUAAGUUCUCAUCGUGAAUAUAAUGUUCUGAAUAUAGUAAUUAUAUCAUAUUCUAACUGACCUAUUAGUUGAAAACCAAAACAUAUAAAAAUAGAUAGGUAUCAGGUGUUUAUAACCCUCAAGUACUGAAUGAUGCUUUAAAUACGAUAACAUCACUUCAAACACUUGUAGGAAAUAAUAAUUUAGACAUCCAAAACAUAAUACAGUUCACUAUACUGAUACAUUACAUGAAUUUGAACAUGGGAAUGAGUUAAAUGUAGAAGGAUAAGAUGUUAAUAUAGUUUAGUUCAUAGCGUGAUAAUUUAACAUGGAAUCAUUUGAAUAUGACAUGGCUAAUUGAAAUUCAAAGAAUAAAAUAACCUAAUUCACAUGAAAAAACAUGUUGACAUAGUUUGAAUUCAAAUUACUAAGAAAACAUUGAUUAAAUUCAUGAUUUACAUGGAUACUUUUAUUAAAGAAGAUUAAUCAUUUGUACUUUUUUGUUCUCAAUAGGUUGAUGGAACCCAUUGAUGAAUACCUCACAAACCUCAAUUGGAUGAAAUCUUAAAGAUGGCUUGAAAUUGGAACUUGAAUCCUUGAAUUCUUGGGGAAGAAAGCUUGAAAUUCUUCUUCUUGAGAGAAGGGGAAGGAUUUACGUAAGUUAUCUAAUGGAGAAUGGGAAAAUAAUGCCCUUUUUUGGUGUUAAAAAUCAUGUAUUAGAAGUUUGGGGUAAGGGGUAAACACCAAAUUACCCCUUGGUCCAAAAAUUCCCCGAAUCCCUUUCAAAAAUUUUGAAAUUCUUCUGAGACACCCCUUUAUCAUCUCUAAACAUGUUUCGACCUAAAAAAUCAACAUCUCGAUUUUGGGAAGGCCAAAAAUAGAAUCCGUGAAAUAUUAGGGUCUUGAAAUUGACUAAGUCCCUUUACUUUGUGCAAAAUUCAUGCCAUAGACCCCUUAGACACGCAACGAAGAGUUGAAACGAGCCUAUAAUUUUAUGGGGUGUUACAAUAUCUCCCCCUUGGGAUCAUUCAUCCCUGAAUAAAACUGGUUAAGCUGAGAUAGUAAGGAAACUGGGAUCAUAUGUUGAAUACUCAUGAGCUAAAGCAUGAUUAAAUAACUGAGUCUGAAAUAUGAUACAUGGACUGAACUAAAUUAAUGAAUACAUGCAAUUACAUGAGGAUUGUUAUAUAGAUGAAAUAGAGAACGAAAGAGUCAAUUUAAUAGAAACCAUUACCUUAAACUGAGUCUGAAUUUGUGGAGAAAAAAUUAGGAUACUUGGCUCGUAUAGCUAUUGCUGCUUCCCAAGUAGCUCCUUCAAUGGACUGAUUUCUCCAUAAAACCUUAACCAAGGGAACUUUUUUAUUCCUCAACCUAUGAAUUAGGUGAUCACGGACUUCAACUAGGACUUCUUCAUAAGAAAAACCAUCAUUCACAUCCACUCUCUCUAUAGGAACAACAAAAGUUAAUCACCAAUACACUUUUUUAGCAGCGAAACAUGAAACAUCGGAUGUACUGAUGCCAAAUCUGCAGGCAACUCUAACUCAUAAACUACCUUCCCAAAGAGUCUUAAUUCUAUACGGAUGAACAUAACAAGGAAUUAGCUUCCCCUUCUUGCCGAAUCUCUUCACCCCUUUCAUCAAUCAAAUUUUUAGAUAAACCAAUUCACAAAUAUCAAACUCAAGAUCUCUUAUUCUCACAUUCGUAUAAGAUUUCUGACGAGUUUGUGUUGUCUUCAGCCUUUUGUAGAUCAACUGAACUUUAUCCAUUGCCUCAAUCACUAACUUUGACCCUUCAAAAGUAGCAUCGCCUACUUUAAACCAACCAAUAGGAUACCUACAUAUCCUCUCAUAGAGAGCUUCAAAUGGAGCCAUAUGAAUAGUGGUGUGAUAGUUGUUCUCAUAGGUAAACUCAAUAAAAGGUAAGUGGUCAUCCCAACUACCCUUGAAGUUAAAAAAAACAAGCCCCCAAUAUGUCUUCUCAUAUUUGAAUGUCCCUGUCUUCCUGGUCAUUUGUCUAUGGAUGAAAAUUUGUACAGAGAUGAACUCGGAUACCAAGACCCUUCUCAAAAGCCUUUAAAAAGUAAGAGGUAAACUAAGUACCUUGAUUUGAAAUGAUCAUCAAUGGAACCCCAUGCAACUUAACUAACUCCUUGAGAUAGAGUAUAGCUUAAUCCUAAGCUAAAUAUGAAGUAUGAACUAUAAGGAAAUGGGUUGACUUGGUCAUUCUAUCUACAAUGACCAAUAUCAAAUCAUGAUGACAUCACAUAGGAGGUAAUUCUUUUGCAAAAUUGAUCUUCACCACCUCCUACAUUACAGUGGGGAUACUGAACUCCUGAAGCGUACCACUAGACCUUUGGUGCUCAACCUUAACUUGAUGAUAAUUCGAACACCUAGCCAUAAAUUCUGCAAUAUCCUUCUUCAUACCAAUCCACCAAUAGAUUUCCCAUAAAUUACGGUAUAUCUUAGUGGCCCCUACAUAAAUAGAAUACCUCUCGCCAUGAGCUUCUACAAAUAUACGAUGCCUUAAACAAUCAAUAUACGGAACACAUAAUCUGCCCUAACGAUGAAGUACACUAUCUCCCCCUUAUGAUAAAACCUCCAUUUUUUGGUCUCUAACUACCUCCUUCAACUUAACCAAACUAGGGUCCCUACUUUGAUUUUCAUUUACUUUGGUAGCCAAUGAAGAUUCUGAACCAUUCUGAACCUCUAUACUACCUUUGGUCGAAUCGACCACUGAACUCCUAAUCUAGUAAGUUGAUCAACCUCAUUAACUAACUCCCUCUUAUCAUCCUCAACAUGUGUCAUAUCAUAGUCUUUAAUAAUUCAAGCCACCUUUUCUGAUGAAGAUUCAGGUCUUUUUGUGUGAACACAUACUGUAAACUCUUAUGAUCCAUAAAUGCAUCAACAUGAACCCCAUAAAGGUAAUGCCUCCAAAUCUUUUAGGCAAAAACCACAGUUGCCAACUUAAGGUCAUGGGUUGGAUAAUUCUUCUCAUGGGGUUUAAGUUGUCUAGUGGAAUAGACUAUGACCUUACCUCGCUACAUUAACACACAACCAAGACAAACUCUAGAAGCAUCAAAAUAAACUACUAAUCCAUUUGUGCCAUUUGAUAAAGUAAAGACUAGAGCAGAAGUGAGUUAAGUAUUCAACUCUUAAAAACACUUCUCGCAAGAAUCUGACCAUAAAUAUUUGACUUUAUUCUAGGUUAGUCGAGAGAUGGGAAAAGAAAUAGAAGAAAACCCUUCAGCAAACCAUAUGUAAUUGCCAGCUAAACAUGAGAACAUCCUGAUAUCUGAUAGAGAGAUAGCUCUAGACCAAUUUUUUAUUUCUUCAGUCAUUUGAGGAUCAACUCAAAUGCCAUCAUCGAAAAUAAUAUGACCAAAGAAACCUACUAAUCUCAAAAAGAAAUAACACUUGAUGAACUUAGAAAAUAACUAAUGAUCCUUAAGGAACUGCAAUACAACCCUCAAAUGGUCUGCAUGAUCACCUUCACUACAAGAAUAGAUGAGGAUGCCAUCAAUAAAAGCUAUGAAGAACAUGCCCAUAUACUGUUUCAACAACCUAUUUAUCAAGUUCAUAAAAGUUACAAGAUCAUUCAUUAGUCUAAAAUACAUAACUAGGAAUUCAAAGUUAUUGUAUGGAGUUUUGAAGGCUGUCUUCAGAAAUCACAUUCUCUGACUCUAAGCUGAUGAUACCUGGAAUUGAGGUCUAUUGUAGAGAAAUAGUUUGCACCUUGAUGUUGUUCAAACAAGUCAUCACUCCUAGGGAGAGGAUACUUAUUAUUGAUUACAACUUUGUUCAACUAACGGUAGUCGAUGCAUAUUUUGAGUGAACCAUUUUUUUGUACACAAAGAGGACUAGAGCUUCCUAUGGAGAAAUGCUAGGCUAAGAGAUCUUUCAACUGUUCCUUUAAUACCUUAAGCUCAAAUGGAGCCAUCUAUAAAGCUGAACAGAGAUAGGUUAGGUAUUUGAAAGGAGAUCUAUUUCAAAGUCAAUUUUUAUUUCAAGAGGAACUACGAGAAUAUAUCUCGAAAAUCAUUUAAAAUAGGAAUUGACUCAAGGCUUAGGGUUUCAUAAUUUGAAUCCUUGACUUGAACGAGAUGGUAAAUAAACCCCUUGGAUAUCAUAUUUAUUUCUUUAAGAUAAGAAAAAAACUCUCUUAAGUAAACCAAUUUAUUAGGAAACUAGAACUGAACAAUUUUAUUCCUACAGUUAUCUAAGGCAUAACAUGAAUAGAUUCAAUCCAUGCUGAGAAUGACAUCAAAAUCCAUCAUCUCUAACUCCUCAAGGUCAAUUGAAGUAACUUUUUGAAACAUUGUGAUAGGGCAAUUUUUGAAUAUCGAUCUUGCUAUAAUAGAACUACCUACUGGGGAAGACACUGAGAAGGGCUCUACUAAUGUUUUGGGACUGACAAUGAAGUCUACAGCUAUAUAUGGAUUCAAAAAGAAAGUAAAGCUCCGAGGUCUAACAAUUCAUAAACAUAAAGAUGGAAGACUUAUAAUGUAUCCAUUGCAACAUCAGGGAACUCUCCUAAUCAUUUCAUUUUGGAAGAGCGUAAAAUUUGUUCUGGAAUUUUCCACUGGUGGCACUGGAAAAGGUACCAUGCUGAGUCGGCCAACCUGCUAGAGCUGAUGAAAAAUUAAACUAGCCUAGCCAACGAACCUCUUUUCCCUUUGGGCAAACCAUUGGGAAAUCCCUAAUUCUAUGGCCUAGUUUUCCAUACCCAAAACACAUAUCACUACCUUCUAUGAACUCCCCCUAUAACUUUUCCCAUACUUCUUGUAGAGUGGAUUGGUACGACUAGUGUUCACACAGCACUGGGACUUAGAGCCUGAUUCUCUAUUCCAACUAUCUUGUGCGUACUUAGUCACUGGUGAACUAGCUGAGGAUGAAGCUAGAUUUGAGAAUUUCUAUUGGAACUAAGAAUGGUUACCUCCUUCCGACCUUGACUGAGAAAAGUCAAAGCUACCUGUUCUUGCCCUCUUAUUCUCUUUUUCCUUCUCUUUAAUCUUCUCCUCCUCAUUCUACUGAGCAUUAGAUAUUAUCCUAGAAAGGUCUAUCUCCUUAAUAAAUAUGGCAGUCCUACAAUCCUUGACUACACUAUCAGAUACAUAAGACACAAACUUACUCAUCCUGACCCUGGAGUCAUCCACCAUAGUCUGACAUACCUCGCCAACUAAGUGAAUAUGAGCAACUAAUACCUCACACUCAUGCUACCGUGCUUCAAAUUUAUAAACUCCUGAACCUUAGCAUCCCUCAACUCUAGUGGGAAGAACCUAUAUUACAAAGUCAUGGAAAACUCUUCCACUCUAUAGGUCCUACAUCAACACCCCAGCCCUUUUUCCACUACUUAAACCAGGUAUGAGCUACUUCCUACAACUUAUAUGCAGCUAUGUCUACACUUUCACCAGAACUGAUACCCAUGAUAUUUUUCACUUUAUACACCCCCAUCAAGAAACUUCUAAGGAUCCUUCAAGAUAUGGAUUCAGCAAAUAAAAGGUGAUUUAUUUGAGUGAAAACUAGAUUCUAGCUGUAGUUGCAAUCAAACUGGAUUGGCUAGAGCAAUAGGCUACUAGUUGUUCUGAGCAUAUACAUGAUGGGCCAAAGCUAUGAAAGCAGCCCUAAACUAGACAUGGGAAACAUGGUCGUUUGGGGGAUCUUUUUGAAUAGGUGAGGGUGCGGGUUAAUCCCCAUUCCUUAUUCAAUUAUUUAAUCUAGGAUGAAUUUUUUAUUAACGGAAUGAAAGAUGAUUUAGAUAAAAUAAUAUAAUAGAGCUCAUGCUCAUUCACACGACAUGAAUACUGAAAGAAUGGAAACUUUCCUAAAAAUGUCUCACAGCCUCUUCUCCAUAAGUGUGGCGCGCUUCACACCCAUGUAUAAAACUCAAUUAAAUGCAAAUUUUCAAAUACCCUAGGAUAUUUUAAAACCUUUGGCUAUGAUACCAAGUUUUUUCAGGACCUGAUGCUACCCCCUAGUCAUGACACAGUGCUUAAGGCCACAAGUGACCCCAAGUUAACCCAUGAUCUGGUACUUAUUAUGAGCACUAAAUAAAAGAAUUAAAAAACACAUCAUGUUUAGAAUAAAAACUAAUAAAUUUCUUUCAAAAUGUAAUAUAUAAUCGAAUACCACCAUGUUCAAAUAACUAAUAAAAACUAAAUACUAGACUGACAGUGUAAUACCCCAUACUUUUCCUAGCUUAAAUUCGUUCCUAGAAUGUUAAGAAAUAGCUUACACAAAGAAGAAUAUUUAUUUUGUAUGGUAAUUUCCAUAUUUAUACCUCUCAUUAUGUGUAAAAUUGAAUGAGCUCUCCAUCGAUACCAAGUUUGCCUAUAUCCGACACUCGGUGAAAGAGUUAUGAUAUUUUUAAGUUGAUAGUGUACCACCUGGGCACUUGGCGCAUUGCAGAGGAGGGUAAAAUGAUAAUUGUCAAAUUAUAGUGGCCUUACAUAAUAGCCUCACAUCGUAGAGAAUCCCAAGUUCCUAAUUUUCCCAUUCCAGUAGACUGAGGUGAUAUUGGCACAUCGCAGAGAGGGCCAAUUUCUCAAUUGUCGAUUUUAAGUAGCCUAACACGAUAUUGGUGCAUCGCGCUAGUGGCAAAAAUAGAAUUUCAAAGGGGUACCGUGAUGGUGGCAAGUCAUGGAGAAUGUCCAUUUCCGUCUUAUCAAUGUUCCAGUAAGCCACCGCAAUAGUGGUGCAUCGUGGUGGCCAUCCAAAUCAGAAAACUAUUACAUUUUCAGUUUCGUCCAGAAGUUUAAAGAGGAAAUUUUGGUCAAUUCCAAAGGCCCCAAUUCAUCAAAAAUAAGGAAUUAAACCCAUUCUAAGUAAUUUAUGCCUAAUUUCAUCCAUUCUCUCCCAAAGCAAAAACCUAGAACACUAAAACCUCUUCUCCAAGAAAUCAAAAUUCUCCAUUGAUUCUCCAAGAAAGAUUAAGAUUGAGGAUUCCCAAGGUAGGAUAACCAAUAAUCCAUCUCCAAGAACUCAAAUAGGAAUCAAUAAUUUAAAUUUCUUUAUCUAAUCAUCAAUCAAGGUAUGUGAGGUUUAUGAAUAAGGAUCCUCUUUCAUUCUUGUGCCGAAAACCAAGUUUUAUUUACAAAUUCUUAAUAUUUUAAUGAAUAUUCAUGAGAUUUGAAUUAGGGUUCAUACCCAUUAUUGCUCUUUGCAAGAUUUUGAGAGUUCAAGUGUUUUACAAGAUGAAUUGCAUGUCUAUUUUUAUAUUUUUAUGCCUAUUGUAGAAAUUUAUAGAUUUUUAGAUAAAUUAUCUUUGUUUUCUUUACUAAGGAUAUUAUAAUGAUAUUUUGACAUGAUUUUGAUGCAUGGAUUACUAAGCUCCAAGUUUAUAUAUUAAUAUUUCAAGAAAGAUGAUGUUUUAAGCAUCCUAUGAUAAGUUUUAUAAUCUACUUUACAAAUUUAUUACAUAUUAUAGAAAGAAAAAUAGCUUCAUCUUCAAACUGAUUCAAAUAAGCGCAUAACUAGUUUCAUAAUAAACCCUUAUUCUAGUUUUAAAGUGGAUUUUCAACAAGAUGAGCGUAGAAAAUAAAAAAGGAAGUAGUAUUUAGCACCAAGUUGAGUAUGAUUCCAAGGUAUCAUACCCCUGAACUAUGUGCCAUCAUAGAAUUGAGAUUUGAGAGCCUAUAGUAGACUGAGAUAGUGAUCACUUAAGAUGAGGUUGUACUCCCUGGCAAGAGUAUGACACCUCUCCCCAAUAUGAGGUUUCUUCCUUAGGAGGACGAGAUGUUGUGCUCCAUGCAGCUUGCAUGGUUUAUAUCGGUUAAGAGAACCUCCCUUGCAAAAUAGUUUUUCCCUAAUAGUAAAGCCUAACCAAAAAAAAUUACAGAAAAGUUUUUAGUAAACUAAGUGUAAAGGCUCACAAAGUUUACUCAGAUUAUGCUUUACAGAAAGAUAACAGUUACAGACUUUAGCUUUUAGAUUUCUGAUUUUAGAAGUGAGCUCUUUCAACACUUAGAAAGUAUGAUUUACAAAUAGAAUACGAGUAUAGCUUUCAGAACAAGAUGUUAUGAAUUACUAGAUUUAUAAAGUAAAAUUGAUUUAUUAUUCAUGAUUUCAGUAUUUUAGAUACUCCAGCUUAUGUGAGUCAUUUACAUUUAGCAUACAUUGGUUAAUAAAUUAUGAUGAUGAUAUGAUGUUUUACUUAUGAAUUUUACCCUCGUAUACUCAGUACAUCCUAAGAGUACUGAUCCAUAUAUUUGUCUAUGUGCUACAUUAUCUCAUAAUAUAGGUUUAGGUGCUCAGUAUCAGUAGUGUGAGUAGUCCAAGCAUCUCCAUCUACAUCCUACAGUUGGUAAGUCCUUAUAGUUUGGAGACUUGUCACUUAGAUUUUACAGCUUAUUAGUUUACAUGAUUUAGUAUUCUUUUCAGACAGUUCAAGUUAGCUGGGGGUUUAUCCCAGUGACUCUCUAGAUGUUAGUAGUAGAGGCUUGUCAGACUACUAGUUGUGAUUCAACUUAAUCAGUGUUGAUGUUUCAUACAUUAUACUCAAAUUAUUCUUAGUUAUUUCAGACAAUUUCUACAUUCAAUAUGACUUUCAUGUCUAUAUUACCUUGAUUAUGAGAUUUAUAUCUAUGUAGAAGGCAGACUGGGUUAGCUUAAGGCUACUCAUAGUCUUAAGCACCGUGUGACAUCUCGGGAUCAGAUUUCAAGGUGUUACAAGCUUGGUAUCAUAGCCUAAGGUUUUUAAGAGUCAUAUAGAGUUAGACAAGCGUUGUACGUAGAGUCUUGAUCGUGGGUGUGAAGCAUGCCAUAUUUAUGAGCAAGAGGCUAUGGAACAUUCAUAGGAAAUUAUCUUUUUCUUUCAUGAUCUAUCAUGCUUACAGUAUCUCUAUCUUCUUUUAACUCAUGCUCUUACGUGAUAGUUAAAUAUGCCUCUUCAUUGAGCUAACGCCUGUAAAAAUAAUAACCAGCCUCCUCAGCCCGUAGAUCCUUUGAAUGAGAUUGUAUCCCAUGCUAAGUUUAAGACUGCCUUUCAAGCAUUAGCCCAAGCUGUGACUACCAAUGUUUAGGGAAAUCAUCAAAAUCAGGUUGUAGUCUUACUUCAUCAAAAUGGGGAUUUAGUAGCAGCUAGAAUCAGAGACUUCAUGAGCUUGAAUAUACCAGAGUUCUUUGGGUCAAAAGUAGGUGAGGACCCACAUCUUUAUAUAUAUGAGGUGAAGAAUAUCACCCAAAUUAUACAUGUUUCUAAGGAGGAGAAUGUAGAGUUAGCAUCCUAGAGAUUGGAGGAUGUAGAGUAUGAUUGGGUAGUGAUAUGGAAGAAUGGUAAAGGUGAGAAUGUUGUUCCUAUGAGUUGAUAGGUGUUUCAAAAUGCUUUUAUAGAUAGGUUCUUCCCACAUGAGAUGAGGGAAGCUAAGAUAGAAAAGUUUGUAAAUUUGAAGCAGGGCUCGAUGAUAGUGAAGGAGUACUGCCUUAAGUUCCAUCAGUUGUCUAAUUAUUCCCUAGAUACGAUAUCUGAUCCCAGGGAUAGUAUGAGUAAGUUUAUUAAUGGAGUGUCUAUCUUGGUAGUUAAGGAGUGUAGGACUACCAUGAUUAUUGGAGAAAUGGAUCUUACUAGAUUGAUGAUGCAUGCUCAACAGAUUAAGCCAGAGAAGUUGAAGGAGAGAGAUAGAAAUAAUUAGAGGGCUAGGAUAGGACAAUUUGAGUAUGGUUAGAAUAGGUAUCAAGGAUGAAAUCAUUUGCAGUUUCAGAAUCAUUCAUCUAUGCAAGCACCAUCUUUAGCAAGUGAUCUCACUCCCAGAGGUAGGCAGGAACAAUAGGGGAAGUCUUCUAUGAAUCUUAGAAUAGUUAAGUGGAAGACCUCGUUAUCCUCCUUAUGCUAAGUGUUGUAGAAAUCACCCCCAUGAGUGUUUUCCUGGACAAAAGGGUUGUUUUGGUUAUUGUAAGUUGAUUCGUAGAGUUAAAAAGUUCCUACAUGCCAAGCAGAAAAAUAGAGAUGAUCAUCCCUAGACUCAGACUACUAGUGCUCCAGCUCCUUUCGGUCGCCCUAUCCCUCCUCACGAUACAUCAUCCAAUAUCAAAGGUGGUCUACUCCAGAAUCGAUUCUAUACUUUACCAUCCUAUAAGAAGCAGGAGAAUUCACCAGAUGUUGUUACUGGUAUGUUUGGUGUCUUUUAUUUUGAUGUUUAUGUGUUGUUAGACCCUAGAUCGAGUUUCUCUUAUGUGACCCCAUUGGUUGCAGUAAAUUUUGAGAUAAGUUUUGAAAUGAUUCCUGAGCCUUUCUUGGUGUCUACCCCAGUGGUUGAGUCAGUUAUUGCUAAAUAGAUCUAUAGAAAGUGUCCUGUCACUAUCCUUCAUAAAGUCAUGUUAGAGGACCUAAUAGAGUUAGAUAUGGUUGACUUUGAUCUUAUUCUUGGUAUGGAUUGGCUCCAUUCUUGUUAUUCCUUUAUAGAUUGUCACACCUGAGUGGUGAAGUUUUAGUUUCUAGAUGAGCCAGUUUGUGAUUAGUCAGGUAAUUCAGUGGCUCCCAAAAGUCAUUUCAUAUCUUAUCUUAAAGACCAAAAGUUGAUCUCCAAAGGGUGUAUCUAUCAUCUUGUUUGAGUUAAAGAUAUUAAGUCUGAGACUCCAACAGUUCAGUCAGUCAGUGUAGUUAAUGAGUUUCCAGAUAUUUUUUCCAAAGAUCUGCUAGGGGUACCUCCCGAUAGGGAAAUAGAAUUUGGUAUUGACCUUCUUCCAGAUACUUAACCUAUUUCUAUACCACAAUAUCAUAUGGCUCCCACCGAGCUCAAGGAGUUGAAAGAGCAACUCAAAUAUCUUUUACAUAAAGGUUUUAUAAGGCCUAGUGUUUCUCCAUGGGGAACUCCCAUCUUAUUCGUGUGAAAGAAAGAGGGUUCUUUGCGUAUCUGCAUUGAAUAUCGUCAAUUAAAUAAAGUUACAAUAAAAACAAAUAUCCUCUUCCUAGAAUUGAUGACUUAUUUGAUCAACUCCAAGGUGCAAGUUAUUUCUCAAAGAUAGACCUUAGAUCCGGCUAUCAUCAGCUUAAAGUAAGGGAAUGUGAUAUUUCAAAGACAGCUUUCAGAACUCGUUAUGGUCAUUUUGAGUUUCUAGUCAUGUCCUUCGGACUAACAAAUGCCCCAGCAGCUUUCAUAGACUUGAUGAACAGAGUGUUCCAAUAGUAUUUGGACAUGUUUUUUAUAUUCUUCAUCAAUGAUAUUCUUAUCUACUCUCGUAGUGAGGAUGAUCAUGCAGAUCAUCUUAAAAUUGUGUUAAGACCCUUAAAGAUCACCACUUAUUCACCAAGUUUAGCAAGUGUGAAUUUUGGCUAAGGUUAGUAGCUUUCCAUGGUCAUAUCAUUUCCAAUAAAGGUAUUAGAGUUGAUCCCUAAAAGACAGAAGACGUAAGAAAUUGGCCAAGACCUAUUUUCCCAUUAGACAUUAGGAGUUUCUUGGGUCUAUAUGGUUAUUACAGAUAUUUCAUUGAGGGUUUCUUGUCUAUUGUGUCUCCUAUGUCUAGAUUGACCCAAAAUAAAGUUAAGUUUCAGUGGUCAGAUCCUGCGUGAAGAGUUUUUAGGAGUUUAAGACAACUCACUUCAUCCCCAGUUUUAGCAUUACCUGAUAGUACAGAUGGUUUUUUGGUUUACUUUGAUGCCUCCAGAGUUUGUUUUUGUUGUGUUUUGAUGCAGAGAGGUAAGGUCAUAGCCUAUGCCUCCAGAUAGCUUAUGCCCCAUGAAAAAAAUUACCCAACCCAUGAUCUUGAGUUAGUUGUUGUUGUAUGUGCUUUGAAAAUCUGGAGACAUUAUUUGUAUGGUGUGCAUGUUGAUGUGUUCACGAAUCACAAAAGCUUUCAGUAUGUGUUUACUCAAAAGGAGUUGAAUCUUCGGUAGAGGAGAUGGUUAGAAUUGUUGAAAGAUUAUGAUAUGAGUGUGUUGUAUCAUCUGGGCAAGGCCAAUGUAGUGGCAGACACCCUUAGUAGACUUUUUAUAAGAAGCGUUAUCCAUGUGGAGAAUGAUAAGAAAGAGUUAGUUUGAGAAGUUCAUCGAUUAGAUAGAUUGGAUGUUGGUUGGUUGACUCAGCUGAAGGGAAUGUUUAGGUUCAAAAUAGUUCUGAAUCUUCCCUAGUUUUGGAAGUGAAGGAGAAGCAAGAUAAGGAUCCUAGUUUGGUCAAACUGAAAGAGUCAGUUAAACACCAAAAGGUAGAGGUUUUCUCCCAUAAAGGAGAUGGUCUUUUGAGAUACCAGACUAAAUUAUGUGUGCCUUGUAUUGAUGAUUUGAGGAAGUGGAUUAUGGCAAGAAGCGCAUGGUGCACGUUGUUCUAUCUAUCCAGGAGCCACCACGAUGUACCGCAACUUAUGGGAAAUCUAUUGGUGGAGUGGUAUGAAAAGAGAUAUAGCAAAUUUUGUAGCCAAGUAUGGAACUUUUUAACGGUUUAAUAUAGAGCACCAAAGACCUAAUGGUACAUUGAAAUAGUUUAGUAUACCCACCUGGAAGUGGGAAGCGGUGAAUAUGGAUUUUUUUACUAGGUUGCCCCAUUCGCGUCGCCAGCAUGACUCGAUUUAGGUUAUUGUACACAGAUUGACUAAGAUAGUGCAUUUCUUGCUAGUUCACACGUCUUACACGGCUAAAGAUUAUGCUAAGUUGUAUAUCCGAGAGAUAGUCAGAUUGCAUGGAGUUCCUUUAUCCAUAAUCUCAGAUAGGGGUACUCAGUUUUCCUCUUAGUUUUGGAGAGCUUUUCAGAAGGGUCUUUGUAACCAAGUUCAUCUUAGUUCAGCUUUUCAUUCGUGGAUAGUUGGUUAGGCAGAGAGGACCAUUCAGACUUUGGAGGAUAUGUUGAGGGCAUGUGUUCUUGAUUUUAAAGGUAGUUGGGAUGAUCAUUUUCCAUUAAUUGAGUUUGCUUAUAAUAACAGUUAUCAUUCUAGUAUUCAGAUGGCUCCAUUUUAGGCUCUUUAUGGGUGGAGAUGUAGAUCGCCAGUUGGUUGGUUCAAAGUGGGUGAGGCCGCUUUUAUUGGGCUAGACAUGGUGCUUGAGGCCAUGGAGAAAGUUUAGUUGAUUAGAGAGAUAUUGAAAGCAGCCCAGAGUCGUUAGAAAUCCUAUGCUGACGUGAGAAGAAGAGACCUUGAGUUUGAGGUUGAUGAUCUUGUGUAUUUAAAAGUUUCACGCUUGAAAGGGGUGAAGAGGUUUGGAUAAAAGGGGAAACUUAGUCCCCGUUGUGUAGGUCCUUUCUGUAUUUUGAAUCAUGUUGGGAAGGUGGCGUAUGAUCUUGAGCUACCACAGAUUUAUCCUUAGUUCAUCCAGUGUUUCAUGUGUCCUUGUUGAAGAAGUGCAUGGAUGAUUCAGCUAUUAUAGUUCCUCUAGAAAGUACAACUAUUCAGAACAACCUUUCUUACGAAGAAGUAUCAGUGGAGAUUCAGGAUCAUCAAAUUCGUAGACUAAGGAACAAAGAAGUUGCCUUGGUCAAAGUUCUGUGGCAAAAUCAGUCCGUUGAGGGUGGUACUUGGGAAGCAUAAGAAUACAUGCGUACCAAGUAUCCACAUCUCUUCUCCACAAACUCAGAUUCAGACGAAGGUAAUAGUUUUCCUUCAUUCAGUUCUUUUCCAAUUUCAGAUUCAGCUAUAUAUAGUUACUAUCUUUAUGAGAAUUCAUGUGCUUUCAAAUCAGUUCAAUAGCUCAUUUUAAUUGAGAUUCAGUUAUUCAGUUUAUUUCAGUUAUGCAUGAUAGCUUAUAGCCUCAGAUUCCUCAGUAUUUUCAGCUUAUCUAGCCAUAUUUGAGGAUGAAUAUUCUCAAGGGGGAGAUAUUAUAGUACCCUACACUUUCCUAGAUUAAAUUCAUUCCUAGAAUGUUAAGAAAUAGCUUCCAAAAUCAAUAAUAUUUAUUUCAUGUGGAAUUUUCUAUAUUUACACCUCCCAUUGUGUGGGAAAUUGAAUAAGCUUUCCAUCGAUACCAAGUUCGCCUAAUUCCGACACUCAGUGAAGGAGUUAUGACAUUUUUAAGUUGACAGUGUGCCACCUGGACACUCGGCGUGUCACGAAGGAGGGUAAAAUGAUAAUUGUCAAAUUCCAGUGGCCCUCCACGAUAGCCCCACAUCGCGUAGAAUCCCAUGUUCGUAAUAUUCCCAUUCCUAUGGACCGAUGCGAUCUAGGCGCGUCGAGGAGAAGGCCAAUUUCCUAAUUGUCGAUUUUCAAUAGCCCAACAUGAUAUUAGUGCAUCACACUAGUGGCCAAAAUGGCAUUUAAAAGAGGCACCGCGAUGGUAGCGCAUCACAGAGAAUGUCUAAUUUGCACUCGUCCAUUUUUCAGUAAGACAUCGCGAUAGUGGCGCAUCACGGUGGCCACCCAAAUUAGAAAAAUGUUAUGUUUUCAGUUCCGUCUAGAGGUUUAAAGAGGGCAUUUUGGUCAAUUGCAAAGGCCCAAAUUCGUCCUAAACAAGGACUUAAACAUAUUCUAAGCACUUUAUGCCCAAUUUCAUCUAUUCUCUCCCAAAGCAAAACCUUAGAGCUCUAAAACCUCUUCUCUAAGAAAUCAAAAUCCUCUAUUGAUUCUCACAGAAAGCUUAAGAUUGAGGAUUUCCAAGGCAAGAUAAGCAAGAAUCCAUCUCCAAGAACUCAAAUAGGAAUCAAUAAUUCAAGUUUCUUCAUCUAAUCAUCAAUCAAGGUAUGUGGAGUUUAUGAACAAGGAUCCUUUUUCAUCGUUGUGCCAAAAAUCAAGUGUUAUUUAAAAAUUCCUAUUAUUUUAAUGAAUAUUCAUGAGAUUUGAAUUAGGGUUCAUACCCAUUAUUGCACUUUGCAAGAUUUUUAGAUUUCAAGUGUUUUAGAAGAUGAAUUGCAUUUCUAUUUUCAUAUUUUCAUGCCUAUUGCAUAAAUUUACAGAUUUGAAGAUGAAUUAUCAUUGUCUUCAUUACUAAGAAUGAUUAUUAUGAGGUUUUAACAUGAGUUUGAUGCAUAGGUUACUAAGCCCCAAGUUUAUAUGUUGAUAUUUCAAGAAAGAUGAUCCUUUAAGCAUCCUAUGAGCUAAAUAUUUCAGAUUUACAAUAAAGUUUUGAUUUUUUGAUCCUCAGCUAAGUUUUAAAAUCCACUUUAUAGAUUUAUUAUAGAUUACAGAAAGUAAAAUAGCUUCAUUUACAGACUGACUUAGAUAAGUGCAUAAUUGGUAUCAUAAUAAACCUUAUGCUAGUUUUAAAGUGGAUUUCCAACAAGGUGAGUAUAGCAAAUAAAAAGGGAGUAGUAUUUAGCACCGAGUUGGGUAUGAUUCCAAGGUCUCAUACUCCAGAACUAUAUGCCAUCGUAGAAUUGAGAUUUGAGAGCCCAUAGUGGGUUGAUAUAGUGAUCACUUAAGCUGAGGUUAUACUCCCUAGCAAAAGUAUGACACCUAUCCCCAUAUGAGGUUUCUUUCUUAGGAUGACAAGACAUUGGACUCCAUGUAGCUCUUAUGGUUUAUGUCGGUUAAGAGAACCUCCCUUGCAGAAUAGUUUUUCCCUAUUAGUAAAACCUAAUAGAAAAGAUUUACAGAAAAUCUUUUAGAAAACUAAGUGUAAAGGUUGACAAAGUUUACUCAGAUUAUGCUUUUCAGAAAGAUAACAAUUACAGACUUCAAGUUUUAGAUUUCAAAUUUUAGAAGUAACCUCUUUCUACACUUAGACAGUAUAAUUUAUGAAUAUAAUACGAGUAUAGCUUUUAGAACUAAAUUUUAUGAGUCACUAGUUUUAUAAAAUAUGAUUGAUUUAUUAUUCAUGAUUUCAGUAUUUCAAAUAUUCCAGCUCAUGUGAGUCAUUUAUAUUUAGCAUACAUUGUUAAAUAAAUUAUGAUGAUUAGAUGAUGUUUUACUGAUUCAUUUCACCCCUGUAUACUUAAUACAUCCUUAAAUUACUGAUCCACAUAUAUGUCUAUGUGCUAUAUUUUCUCAUAAUGUAGGUUUAGGUGCUCAGUAUCAGCAGCGUGAGUAGUUGGAGCAUCUCUAUCUACAUCCUACAGUUGGUGUGUCCUCAUAGUUCGGGGACUUGUUCACUCAAAUUUUGCAGCUUAUCAGUUUACAUGAUUUAGUAUUCUUUUCAGAUAGUUUGAGUUAGCUGGGGGUUUGUCCUAGUGACUCUCUAGAUGUAAGUAGUAGAGGCUUGUCAGACUAUUAGUUGUGAUUCAGCUUAUUUCAUAUUGAUGUUUCAUACAUUAUAUUCAUAUUACUCUUAGUUAUUUCAGAUAGCUUCUGCAUUCAGUAUGCUUUCAUGUCUAUGUUACCUUGAUUAUGAGAUUUAUAUCUAAUAGAAGGCAGACAGGGUUAUAUUAAGUCUACUCAUAGUCUUGAGCACUUGUUACAUCUCAUGAUCAGAUUUCAGGGCAUUACAGAUAGUCUGAAAAACUCUAAAAAUCAUAAGGAGUUGAUGGGACAAAUCCCCAACCACCUUCGACCAACUAAACUUAAAGAAAUACUAAACUAACUAUAAUAACUCACAUUCUCGAUUGAUGAAGACUCACCACUACUGCUCCUAAGUCAUAGUGAGCUAACUAAGAGCGAUUCGUCUAAACUUAUGUUAUAAGACAACACAAUGCAAAAGAAAAAUAUUUUAUCUAUACUUUGAAUGUACUGGUACUAAGGUAAGGUCAAACUAAAUUACAUAAGAAAACUGAACGUGGAUACAUGAAUAUGAAAUAGUAAGAAUUCAACACCAAGUAAAAUAUGAACUAAGAUAAUCUGUAUAACAUGAGUAACUAAAUGUCUGACAACUGUGCCCUCGGUCAUUAAAACCUGAUCUGUUCUAGCCUGAAUACUGAACUGAGACUGGGAGAGCUAUCAUGUAAUUAACAUGCCCCGAUCUGAGCCAAUCAAGGUCCAACCUAUAACCCCAGUUAAAAGGGUGUUAGUACCUUGCCAUGGGUACUAACACUUGCUGAUGAUCUGGAUCCAUAAGGCUGAUGUCUCGAAGGACUAGGGAGUCACCCCUCUACUAGCACGUACCCUUAAAAUAUUGUCAACCCUCUACUGGCAGGAUGACCUCUAAUACCUACGCUACCUACAUAGUUCUAGAACUCAGGGACUUCUACUAAAUGUUACACCCUCUGCUGGUACGUAAGCCCCUAUCCCUAGGUUCACUUGGUGCUAAAUUCUACUACCAACUGAACUGACACUAUUAUUAUUAUUGGUUUAAUAUGAUGUGGUAAUGUACUGAUAAGUGCUCAUCGUGAACAUGAUAUUCUAAAUAUAGUAAUACAAUUUUAUUUUGACUGACUUAUUACUUGAAACCUAAAACAUAUAAAAACAAAUUGGUAUCAGGUGUUCAUAACCCUCAAUGAUACUUUAAAUAUGAUAACAUCAUUUAAACCACUGGUAUAAAAUCAUAAUUCAGGGACCCAAAACAUAAAAUAGUUCACUAUACUGAUGUAUUACAUGAAUUUGAACAUAGGAAUGAGUUAAACUUGGGAGGAUAACAUGCUCAUAUGGUUUAGUUCAUAGCUUGAUAAUUUAACAUGUGAUCAAUUGAAUGUGACAUGGGUAAUUGAAAUUCAAAGAAAAAAAUAACCUAAUUCACAUGGAUAAACAUGUUGACAUAACUUGAAUUCAAAUUACUAAGAAAAAUGGAUUAAAUUAACUAUUUACAUAGAUAAUUUUACAAAAAGAAUUAAAAAUUCAUACUUGAAGGAAAAAGGUAUUUGGGAAUCAAGGGGUGGAAGUAACCCAUUGAAGAAUACCUUAUAUACUUCAAUUGUCUGAACUCUUGAAGAAGUCUUGAAAUUCAAACUUUAAUCCUUGAUUGUUGGGGAUGAAAUCUUGAAUUUCUUGUUCAUGAGAGAGGGGUAAGGGUUUAUGUAAGUUAUCUGAUGGAGAAUGAGCAAACAAUGUCCUUUUAGGCGUUAAAAAUCAUGUAUUGUAUGUUUAGGGUAAGGGGUAAAGACCAAAUUUCCCCCUAAACAUUUAGUUGAAACAUAGGAAAAAUGCAGCCGCUGCGGCGCGGAGGCUAGUUUUUGUGAUGGCUUCCGCGGCGCGGCCCUAACGCAGAGGCUUGCUGCCUUCGUGGUCAAAAAUGCCUUGAACACCUUUCAAAAAUUCUAAAAUUCAUCCGGGACACCCCUUUAUCAUCUCUAAACAUGCUUUAACCAAAUAAAUCAAUGUCUCAAUUUUGGGAAGGCCAAAAAUAAAAUUCGUGAAAUCUUGGGGUCUUGAAAUUGACUAAUUCCCUUUUUACUUAGUGUAAAACUUGUGGCAUAGACCGAUUAAACAUGCUACUAAGAUCUGAAAUGUUCCUAUAAUCUUCUGGGAUUAUACGAUGAUGUUUAUGUGGAAAUUAUAAGUGAUUCUGAUCAGCAAAUUUCCAUUCAAAAAAAAAUUCUAGAGGAUCAAAAAAUAUGCUAAUUUCUAUGAUUUAUGCUAUGUGCACAGAAUCUCAAAGAAAUUCACUAUGGAAUAGCAUAUAUAAUCUAGCUAAUAUUAA
rnacentral:lncRNA from 1 species